CGAGAGAAGAGUUAGAGGGGGCGUCUACGGCGGGUGCUGGCGGGCAGCCGGUCUUCGUGGUUUCAUGAAGAAGGGCUGCAGUCAGGUGGGGCCGCUGGAGGGGAGAGUGCAAGGACGCUGUCCUAAAUACUGCCCCGCAGGCAAGACGGGGGCGAGACAGUGCCAGUAGUUAGAACACGAACACACGUUGGACAACUACAGAAGAAUUAAAAAGCAAAGGUUGUCAAAAAUAGCCCAAGCCAGUUUGCUGGAGUGCCGGUAAUAGUCAAUAAAUGUUACUGCAUUUUCACUUAGUACUUGCUCAGUGCUACGCUGUGCGCAUCACGCGUCUACCUCAUUUGAUUCUCAAAACAACAGUAGAUUGGAGUGGCAUCUAGUAGCCCUACUUUGUAAUGAAGGCAAUUGAGGCCCAUAGACAUUGAGUAAUUUGCCCAACGUCACACAAUGGCUAAGAAUGUCCCAGGAUUUCGAGCCAGGCAUCUGCCUCCAGAGCCACCGAAAGUAACCGCCUAGGCAUGGAUAUGAUCAAGAAAAUUAACAAAAAGUAAAGGAAAGAUGAGGAAACUGAGGCAUUGAGAGGCUUCACAACUUAUCAAGAUCACAUGGCCAGUAUGUGAAGUAUUUGAAUCCUAGCUCCAGGCAUGCUAGCUCUAGAUGAAGAUUUUAGGCUGUGGUUCAAGGAAUCCGUCAUACUUCAGUAAUUCUGCACUCCUCAAGCCCUUGUGGGACAGCCUUGUGUGUUCAGGAUGAGCUUCUAGAACAACAGGCUUCCACGUCUUUGACAGCAGGGUAAAGAUUUUCCAUCAGCGUACACAUAAAAACAGAGUGACCUGUCCAAAAUGCUUUGAGCAAAAUAAAAAGCAUGUUGCCCAAGCACCCCAUCAA